GCGUAAGCGCGCGCAGGCGGUUUCUUAAGUCUGAUGUGAAAGCCCACGGCUCAACCGGGGAGGGUCAUUGGAAACUGGGGAGCUUGAGUGCUGAAGAGAAGAGCGGAAUUCCACGUGUAGCGGUGAAAUGCGUAGAGAUGUGGAGGAACACCAGUGGCGAAGGCGGCUUUUUGGUCUGUAACUGACGCUGAGGCGCGAAAGCGUGGGGAGCAAACAGGAUUAGAUACCCUGGUAGUCCACGCCGUAAACGAUGAGUGCUAGGUGUUAGAGGGUUUCCGCCCUUUAGUGCUGCAGCUAACGCAUUAAGCACUCCGCCUGGGGAGUACGGUCGCAAGACUGAAACUCAAAGGAAUUGACGGGGGCCCGCACAACCGGUGGAGCAUGUGGUUU
rnacentral:rRNA from 1 species